UUGUAAUGAUGUUGAUCAAAUGUCUGACCUGAAAACGAGCAUGUGGACAAAUUUAACGCUGAAUAA
ensembl:snoRNA small nucleolar RNA SNORD78